rnacentral:rRNA from 1 species
ACCAGACUCCUACGGGAGGCAGCAGUGGGGAAUAUUGCACAAUGGGGGGAACCCUGAUGCAGCGACGCCGCGUGAGUGAAGAAGUAUUUCGGUAUGUAAAGCUCUAUCAGCAGGGAAGAAAAUGACGGUACCUGACUAAGAAGCCCCGGCUAACUACGUGCCAGCAGCCGCGGUAAUACGUAGGGGGCAAGCGCUAUCCGGAUUUACUGGGUGUAAAGGGAGCGUAGACGGCGAUGCAAGCCAGAUGUGAAAGCCCGGGGCUCAACCCCGGGACUGCAUUUGGAACUGUAUAGCUAGAGUGUCGGAGAGGCAGGCGGAAUUCCUAGUGUAGCGGUGAAAUGCGUAGAUAUUAGGAGGAACACCAGUGGCGAAGGCGGCUUACUGGACUGUAAAUGACGCUGAGGCUCGAAAGCGUGGGGAGCAAACAGGAUUAGAUACCCCAGUA